UACGUAGGGUGCAAGCGUUGUCCGGAAUUAUUGGGCGUAAAGAGCUCGUAGGCGGUCUGGCGCGUCUGAUGUGAAAAUCCAGGGCUCAACCCUGGACCGGCAUUCGAUACGGGCAGACUAGAGUUCGGCAGGGGAGACUGGAAUUCCUGGUGUAGCGGUGAAAUGCGCAGAUAUCAGGAGGAACACCGGUGGCGAAGGCGGGUCUCUGGGCCGGUACUGACGCUGAGGAGCGAAAGCGUGGGGAGCGAACAGG
rnacentral:rRNA from 1 species